rnacentral:rRNA from 1 species
GACGAACGCUGGCGGCGUGCUUAACACAUGCAAGUCGAACGGAAAGGCCUGCUUUCCCUUGUGGAUUGCGGGUACUCGAGUGGCGAACGGGUGAGUAACACGUGAGUGAUCUGCCCCCAACUUGGGUAUAAGCCUGGGAAACUGGGUCUAAUUCCCGAUAGGACUGCAGGGUGGUGCCUGUGGUGGAAAACGAUUUUCUAGUGGUUGGGGAUGAGCUCGCGGCCUAUCAGCUUGUUGGUGGGGUAAUGGCCUACCAAGGCGGCGACGGGUAACCGGCCUGAGAGGGUGGACGGCCACAUUGGGACUGAGAUACGGCCCAGACUCCUACGGGAGGCAGCAGUGGGGAAUAUUGCACAAUGGGCGGAAGCCUGAUGCAGCGACGCCGCGUGGGGGAUGACGGCCUUCGGGUUGUAAACUCCUUUCGACCGCGAGGAAGCCACCUGGUUGGAAGGGUGGUGACGGUAGUGGUAGAAGAAGCACCGGCUAACUACGUG